GACGAACGCUGGCGGCGUGCUUAACACAUGCAAGUCGAGCGGUAAGGCCCUUUCGGGGGUACACGAGCGGCGAACGGGUGAGUAACACGUGGGUGACCUGCCUUUAGCUCUGGGAUAAGCCUGGGAAACCGGGUCUAAUACCAGAUAUGACUCCGCGGCGCAUGUUGUGGGGUGGAAAGCCUUGUGCGGCUGGAGAUGGGCCCGCGGCCUAUCAGCUUGUUGGUGGGGUGAUGGCCUACCAAGGCGACGACGGGUAGCCGGCCUGAGAGGGCGACCGGCCACACUGGGACUGAGACACGGCCCAGACUCCUACGGGAGGCAGCAGUGGGGAAUCUUGCGCAAUGGGCGAAAGCCUGACGCAGCGACGCCGCGUGA
rnacentral:rRNA from 1 species